UGGGGAAUAUUGGGCAAUGGGGGCAACCCUGACCCAGCGACGCCGCGUGGUGGAAGACGGCCUUCGGGUUGUAAACCUCUUUUGUACGUGAAGAAGGAAGUGACGGUACUGUACGAAUAAGUCCCGGCUAACUACGUGCCAGCAGCCGCGGUAAUACAUAGGGGACGAGCGUUGUCCGGAAUUACUGGGCGUAAAGGGCGCGCAGGCUGUGCUGCAAGUCAGCUGUUAAAUGUCUGGGCUUAACACGGGCAUGCGGUUGAGACUG
rnacentral:rRNA from 1 species